CUUGUGUGGGGAGUGUUUGUUUACUGUUGUGUAUCGUGGAUUCAUUUGUAUAGAAGCCACAAGUCAAUGCUGGAUUUGCAGAGAGACUGUGAUUAAAAGCACCGCUAAUAUUGGAUCUGGCAGAAAUGACACAGCAAAGAGGACCGAGGCGCGCCACGGGAAGUCUUUCACACGCAGGAGGUGGGCCGUGGACGAAGGAGCUCCGUCCGGCCCUUGCCCUGUGGUUCUUGUCCUCGCAGAAAAGGCUUCUCCCCUCCAACGUCCCUGGCCCCGUAAUACUCCCCCUGAGGGCGAGAAGCGAGAUUUUUAGAUUCCCUUUCCCAUUCCCUACUUUGGUUUUAAUUAAUUUAAAUAAAGUUGAUUGUUUUAACAGUA